ACCAGAGGAAUGUGCAGAGAAAGCAGCCAUGCUGCUGCAAGCCUCCGCUCGCUCCUCGGCCGAACUGCCGAUUUAGCAGCCUGCCUCUGUGUGACCGGUUGGAGGUGGGGGCCUCAGUCUGGGGGGAGGCCCUGAGUCUGCUUUGAAGCCAAAACAGGGUUUUGCCCUUCCGUGAGUAAGCGCUUUGUAUGCAAGGCCGGACAGGACUUUGCUAACCUUAAUUGAGGACUGCGCCAAGUAAAGGGCGAAGUCACUCCUCCAGUCGCUGGGGGAGUUUAUCCAUGUUCCAGAUGGGCAGGCUGCAGCGCUCAGCCAACUCAUGCAGCAGACGCCUAUCUGAGGAAGGGAGAGAGUGCCUGACUGCCGCUCUCCCUUCUACUGGAUUAAAAGCAAGUUGUAAUAAUGACUGCAUACGGCUGAACACAAAAGCACUUGCACCACACAGGCGUUUGGGAACAACAUCUUCCAGAGCCAGGCUACUGUCUGUAGCCUGUGUCCUUUGCUCUGAUAGCUCUGAGGCCGUGGGCUGUUGCCGUUCUUGCUGAUGCAAUGCAGCGAGGGCUGGGGUGAAGGAGAGUGCAUACCUGUGUGUCAGAGGUAGGAGCUCCCCUUUGGCGAUGAUGGAAAGCACAGCAAAUUCAAAUCAAAGAUGAGAGGGGGUUGCUUUGAAUUGCUGUAUUCCAGAUGUAUCUGAGGCAAUCUCCCUCUUCACUGCACGUAUCGUGGUAGCAAGAGCAAAGAUCACAGCGUAGCCCAGGUUUUCAUUUGAACAUGUCCAGGCUGGCACACAGUUGAGGUAAGGACAAUGUGCUUUUGUAGAUUUGAUUUGUGUCAGAGCUAGGGGCAGAGCCAGGGAGGGAAUGAAAAGCCUGAAUAUCUGGUCUGCUACUGAAAAGUACAGGCCUCUGAGUAAGAUGGUGCAGCUCAUUUGAGUUAGCUGGAUGUGCUAGACAUCUCCUAGAACUCUCUUCCCCAGCAUCUGUAACUUAUUCCUGUAAAAUGAAAAAAAGAAGGCAUAAAAUAUCAAGGUUUAAAGCAACUGAAAGAGCUCUCACCUCCCUGCAGGAAUACAUUUUUGAAUAUAUCCUAUAACUUGCUCAGCGUUGUUGAUGUGUUUGACUCUCUGUUGCAUGCAAAGAUAAUUGCUCCACGAAGAACUCAGACUGCACUGAUAAGAAAGGCCAGUUGGUGCAUCUAUUUUAUCCCACCUCCUUCAGCGAAAGAUUAUUUCGAGUAUCUUAUCAGAAAGAAGCAGCCUUUCAAAAGCUGUACCUUGAGGAGUGCCCAGAGUGGAGAUCCAUUCCAGCUCCAGCAGCAGACCCUGUGGAUGUCCCUCCACCUCAUCUCUGGGAACAGAGUUAGUGAUGUUCCCUGGCUGUUUGGUUGCUAUAAAUGAGGACAUUCUCCCCGAAUGCAAGUCAGCCCAGAUGCAGUGCCUGCAUGUCUGGAGUCAGUCUCAGCAUGGUCAGAACAAGAACCAAACAGCUCCAUGAUUUGUGCUGCACACAGAGGCCUCUCUCACUGGGGAGCUGCUCUUCACUGCGAUUCUCACCCUCUGCACCGGCAGCAGUAGUGUCCAGACAUGCAGACAAACAUUUGAGGGUGACUUUUUUAGCUCCAUCAGUGCAGGGCUAAGCCUGCCCAAACUGCCUUCUACCAGCCCAGCAACAGUCCCAGCCCACGUGUCAGCAAAUGCUAUAGGAAUCUCUUCUGCUGAGGUGCAGGCUGCAGUUCCUGGUGCUUUUGUUGACUCUGUAGGAGGAGUGUCCGGUCUGCUGCUGUGGUUUUUUUUCUGUGUUGUUUUUUUUCAGCAGCAGACAAACAGCAUCUCCAUCUUUCCUCCUCACAGCAGAAGAAUCCAUUGAGAUAUAUCUAACUACUGGUUUUGUCAUUAUCUUUCAUGUAGCUGCCCCACUUUUCUCUUAGAAAUUCAGUCCAUUUGCCUGUCAGCAUGCUCUGUGGUGCACAAGCUUCUGGUUUACUUUCCCCAAGGAUUAUUCUGUUUCAGCAUUCCAAAUUAUCUGAGACAGCAGUUCAUCCUCCUCUGAGCACCUAGCUAGAGGGGGACGAGCCGAAGGGUCCUGUCUGCUACAACAAGACAAAGCACACAAGCUUACCUGUUUCAUUUGCUUCCACUAUCGAGUCCUUUCUGUAAUUCCUCUGACUCCUUCCUUGCUGGGCCUGAUAAUCUCACAGAGCUGGUUUACUCCAUGUCUACGGGUCCUUAAAGGGGCAGGUUAGACUUAGCACUGUUUGCAAAUACAUCAAGGAAGAUUUGUCUAUGGUAUAUAAGCGUACAGUCUCCUACAAAAACACUUUUUUCCUGUUUGGAAAUUUGUGAGGUUAAAUUAGAUAUGUGUGCAGAACAAACUCUGAAAGGCUCUGAGCACUCUCCGCAUAUAAUUGUCUAAGUGGAAGCGUGGUAGAUGUUAGGAUUAGCGUGAAGUACAUCAUACCUGGGACAGAGGAACCACUGUGAUGCUUUGCUUCCACAGCCUGAAAUACAUAUUACUUACAGAUGUUCUUACAUUCUUGGCCCUUACGGCUUUCCAGUGCUUCUUAACACACUCCUGAGCUUACAGAGGUGGUGCUGACUAGCUGCAGUACUUCUUUUCCUAACAGAAAUGAAGUUGUUGAGUGUGGCAAGGGAUAGUUUCUGUCAAGAGAGAUCAAGGAAUGGAAAUGUUCCUCUUCUGGGAUGUGUGUCAAGGUGUUCCAGAGACCCUUAGCCUAAAAUAGAGGAUGAAGUAAGAACAAAUGCCAGAGGCAAAGGCAAGAAAGGAGAAGUAGGCAAGCUCAAUAUUUCAGCAGGUGGGCAGGAAAAUGAAAAUGAGACAUGCAGACUUUUCUGGUUUUAAAUGCUUGAGAGCUGCUCAGAAACUAUUGUGAUGGGGUCAUUUAUAAACCUGGGCAGGCAAAUAGGAGUCAAAUGGUUGCGUAGUUAUGAGCAGCAAAACUUUCCAGAGCAGCGAAGGCUGGAAAUAACAUAAAUAAGGUAGUUGGGCAAUAGGUCACGGGGUAAAGAGUCCCUCGUAACCAGUUCAUCCAUGAGUAAGAAAUAAUGAGAAGUUCUUAAGUGAGAGGCAGCAGAUAAUCAAAGGCAGGGUCGUCACAGGACUACGGCUCUUGAAUGUUGACUUUGCAAAUAUCUCAGUGGUCAUUAUUGCUAUUUCCCUUAUCAGCCAAAGAUGUGCAAUGUGGUAGGUAGUCUUUUUCAAAACGCUUACCAUUUGAAAUAGCAAGGGAAAAAGAACAAAAGGAGAUGUAGAAAGGUUGGAAAGUACUGUUUGAGCAUGAGGACACAAAACAGUAGGUCUUGAUACACGGCUGGUGAGAAGCAAAGGAGCCAGGGAGUAGCAGGUAAAAUUUAUGGCAUACGCAUUUCUCACACUGAGAACUUCCUCAGUAUUUUGUCUAGUUUGAAAUGAAACGUCCAGAUAUUUGGGGGAAGACCUGGCUGUCACUGGGAGGCUUACUGGAAGCUAUGUUUGUAAAAAUCAGCACUUUGGGUCAGAAAGCCCACUCCAGAAUGAAUAACGAGUGGAAGCACCUUGAGCGCGAUGCGGAGCUUUCUGACACCCUUACAGGAACUGAAGGAAUGCCCUUAUCCUGGUGAGCCCCUCUUAGAAAUGGUAAUGAUCCCAAUAAAGAGGUUUGGAGGUGUGCCCAUGGGAACAGUUAGAGACGUGCAAAAAUGUCUCUGCACCACAGCAGAAGUGCAGCUAUUGUUUAUUUAUUCCACGGCUAAGACACCUUAGUAUGCAUAAGGCUUUGUAGGCAAAUGGUACAGGUCUGUGCCUGAGGAGUUUGCCUUCUGAGCAAGACAGAGCACAACAAAGGGAGGCACAGCGAGGAAGUGUGUUGGUACAUGUGUGAGCGGCGCGUCCAUGAGAGGCAGCAGUCACCGCCAGCAGAGGUCAGAGGCAAGGGUGUCACCAGGGCCUCCCUGUGGCUGUCACCUUCCCAUGAGCCUCCUGCCGUGCUGCCGUGCGGAGGGAAGCUCUCGUUCCAUUACCCGCAGGGUGUGACGCAUCUGCUCACAGCUACAGUCCUGGAGGAGUAACCUCCAGCCUCUGCAGACCAUGUUCCCACUGGCUCCUUUUAUUAUAGUAGCAGCCAGAAAAGCAGCUGCAUUGCACAAACAGCAGCGGCAAAAAGUUAAAUGAGUGCUUGAAUUCAAAAGUGAAUUUUGGGGGCUUCUGUGUCGCAGUGCUUUAAUGCACAUCCACUCAGAGUGUGUAAAUUCAUUUGUGCGAAUGAAUUUGAAGCUGAAUUCUAAACGUGAAAAAAAAAAAAAGGUGGAAUUGCAUGUUUUGUUUGUUGCAAAACUUAUCACAGAUAGCUCCCAAAUGUGGUUCCAAGGCAGUAUCGGCCGGUACCUCAGUGCAAUUGCAAACGUUCAUCAGACAGACCUGUCGUUUUGAGUGAUGAAAACCUUCAUAGUUCCUAACCUGGUUGCAGAUAAUUUCAGAAGAAAAUAAUAUUAAUAGAAUAUGUUUUUGUUGCAUAUUACGUGCUCGAUUCAAGCAUUAUGUAUGCAAAUCGGGUAAUUUUGUACCUAAUUGCCUGAUUUGCAUGCAUAAAUGUAGGUUGCACAUGUGCAAAUGAUUUUAUUCAAAUGUAGUUUAUGCCUAAUACGUAGAGUGGCUGGAAAUGUGAAUCUGUGUCUGUUGGUUUGAAGCACUUCUAAUUGUCACUUAAUGAAAAAUCAGAAUCGGUCACUGGUUUUGGAGGUCAGCUGAAAUGCAGUGAGCUGCAGGGGAUGGCUUUGCAGGGCCAGUAACCCUGGAGCUGUGCACUUUCCUCGAGAAAUUAGCAAUGAUGUAAAUGCCCAGGGAGAUAAGUAAAUAAGAAAGAUCGCCUUGCUGUAAAUGGCAGCAGAAAAUCACAGGAAAACGUGGCACUUGUCAAGUGGAAAAAGACAGAAUCACUCAGAAAGAAAGGCGGGUUUCGAAGCCUAAGGUGGUUUAGCAGACAAUGAAACCUAAGAUGAAAAGUGUAAAAAUGCGGUACUAAAAUCUGAGUGCAUUAAAAAUUCAGAUAAUUUCAUGGCUAGGAAAGGAAUGGGACUGACAGUUCUUGUGAAUGAAGUUAUUUAACCCAGGCAAAGGACAUAAAAGCCUCGCUUGUUCCACCGUGUCACGUGCCUCACCUCUGAUCAGGAAGGGAUAGAAGAGAUGGAUCUGGGGGGUUAUUAGGAAAACUCGGGCUGCAGGGCCCACUUUGACAUGGGCCUCCUGUGCUGUGCCCAGCGUGAGGUCGGCGCUGCCGUUCUCAUAGCGGUGCGGAAGGGCAGGACGUGUCCUUGAGGAAGGAACCCGAAUCUCCCAACAGCACUUUUCACCAAGGUGUCAGCUGUAGGCUAAUAACAGCAGCAGGCUGUUUUCUCUCCAUUACUCAGAACUCCCCUGCAAAUGUUAUUUGCAUACAGACGGGUGACAAAUCCUCCUAAAAUAAGCGUGUAGAAACACUGGAAGCAAUUUGGAUGCAGCUAUGGACAUACGAUUCCAAAUUCCCCUUUACGCUGAUGUGAAGCACACGCGAGGUCAAGCACCUUCUACACCCCAUUUAUGCUGGCAAGGCCCGUGGUAAGAUGUGGGCAUAAGUCGGAAUUUGGCACAGAAUGCUCUCUGUCCGCUUGAGAGCAGGUUGGUCACAGCUCUGCUGACAUGGCUUUGGUAUCAGAUGGUCUCUAACCAACGUAGCUUCACUAGGAAGAAUUUCUAGCGUGGUUGUGUUUACGACGACAAGCCGAUGCUUGUCUUGGAGUAGGUUAUUUCACUUGAGAAAGGGAGACAAGCUGGAGUAAAUGUUGCUCUCCAUGGGAAGAUGCAGCUUCCAGCUGCAGGAAGGGAAGGUGAGGAGGGUCGCAUGCCACCCCUGCAUGGAGUUGGUGGCUGAGGGGCCACGGCUCUGUCGUUCUGCACCUGGGAGUGCGCCCUGCUGCUUUCCUCUGCGAGCUCUGCUGCGUCUGCAGCGCUCUGCUGCUUACCUGCCCUGUGCUGCUGCUCCCCAGCGCGGAUUUGACUCUGAGCUCUUGUUUUGCUCCCAGGAGCACACAGCGGUUUUGAUGUAAAUGAGAAUUAAACUCACCUUGGUGGGUUUUUUUUUUUUUUUUUGUCUACUCUUCUAUUACUGGGAGAGAACACAAGUUGACUAACACCAAGCCUUCCUCUUUGUUUGCAUGCUAACCUCACCAGAGCAUUACACGCAGAGCUCUGUGCAAAAUAAAUAAACCCAAACCCUGGGCUCACUCCCAACUUGCUAUCUGAGUGUUUAGCUAAAGCACAACUUCUGUUAUAUUGGAGAGAUGCUGUGUUAUUUGACUAAGUACUGUUAUUUCUACUUAUUUUUAUUCCAUCACAGAGUAAAGACACUUCUUAUUUUCCAAUUUUCCAGUAGGAGUGAAAAAUGCUGCCUGAUAGCUGUGGAGAUUGAAGGUUUCUAGUUGUUCACAGAAUGUGUGUAGCCUGGGUAGUAUUCACUUCCCGCUCUACAGCGUCCCAUUCCUCCCUGGCUUAGCAUGCCGGGUUGAUUCCAUCCCUGAUCUCUUCUCAAAGCCCUUUAUUUCGGGUGUUCUCUGCAAUUGGGGCGAUUACUGCCCAGUGCAGAGGGCAGCAGCUCUGUGAGCAGUGCGAGCCACAAACCCAUCUCGGCCGCACAGAGCGCCCAUCAGCCCUGGCACUGUCAGGGUAUGGGGGACGGGGGGCAUCUGUGUGUCAUGUGUGGGGUGACGGGCACUAUUGCUGUCCUCACAGCCACAGGUCCAGAAGGGGAGGGCACCGUGGCUGCACUCAGGGCCUGACACUCCUGCCAGAAUCCCAGAAGGUGAAAAGCGUUUGCACUGUUCAUCUUCUUACUGUCACUUUGGAGGUUACCUUCAUUUCUUGACACAGAUCCAUACUGUAUUUUUGCAGAGAUACAGUUUUCUCCCGGUUGCCCUUUUUCCUCUCUUUGUAAUCCCUGGUUGGCAGUGAGAGUGGUCUGACAGAUCUCUGUGACUGAUAAGAGAAAUGAUUGCCUAAGUGAGAAUUGUUUCUGGAGCACAUUCCUCCCCUUGGGUUAAAUAUAGGUUGCGGCAUCCCAGCAUAAUGAAAAGAUCGGGAAGCAUUUACACGCUGCUAUAGUUGAUGCCUUGUAAUAAUUGAGUAAAACAUUCACAAUUGUGAAAAUCACACCUGUAAAGAUGAGCUUAGUCACUUUCCUGUUAAUGAGUCUGUAUUUUCAGUCAGCCUCUCCCUUACCGCAUUCAGCACAUGCACUAAAACAUAUCCCAGCUCAACCCAAUCCUUCAGCCUUUGUGUUUUAUCGCCUUGUGAUUUGCUGUUGGCUGCAGCAGCCUGGUUUAUUACCAUACCGUGUGCACUGCAGUACUCGCAUAGCAUUGUGCUGCAGGAUUGCUCAGCGCGCUGGACCAGGGAUGUCCAAUCCUUUUGAUUGUAAAAAACGAAAGCAAAUCUGGAGAGGUUCAACCACUGUGAAAAACUAGAGCCGUGUUGGAGCGCUGUCACAGAGACAUAACUCAGAACGCAUCAACAGUUGUUGUCAACUCUUCACUUUGUAACCUGAAAUCAUCUGCGAUGCUGGGAUGCAAAUCUUUAGGUUCGGAAAGUGGCUGAAAGCUGAGCUGUAAAAAUAAAGCCUGAGAAACAUUUCUAAUUCCGA